GGAGGCUAAUACAACUGACGCCUCAAGCAUACAAGGUCAAUGUAGAGCAUGCUGAUCGUUUCUAUAAUCAGUUUGGAACACGGGAUGAUGAAGAAAUUGUAGAUGGUGAUGAAUUCAUGCAAAAUGUUGGAAAUUCAAAACGUUCGAAGUCUUCAAAACCAUGCGACUAUCAAGCACUUUUUAGUGGAAAUUAUGAUGAUGACUUUAUGAUAGGCAUUAAGUU
rnacentral:misc_RNA from 1 species